rnacentral:rRNA from 1 species
UGGGGGAAUUUUGGACAAUGGGGGGAAACCCUGAUCCAGCCAUCCCGCGUGUGCGAUGAAGGCCUUCGGGUUGUAAAGCACUUUUGGCAGGAAAGAAACGUCGCGGGUUAAUACCCCGCGGAACUGACGGUACCUGCAGAAUAAGCACCGGCUAACUACGUGCCAGCAGCCGCGGUAAUACGUAGGGUGCAAGCGUUAAUCGGAAUUACUGGGCGUAAAGCGUGCGCAGGCGGUUCGGAAAGAAAGAUGUGAAAUCCCAGAGCUUAACUUUGGAACUGCAUUUUUAACUACCGGGCUAGAGUGUGUCAGAGGGAGGUGGAAUUCCGCGUGUAGCAGUGAAAUGCGUAGAUAUGCGGAGGAACACCGAUGGCGAAGGCAGCCUCCUGGGAUAACACUGACGCUCAUGCACGAAAGCGUGGGGAGCAAACAGGAUUAGAUACCCUGGUAGUCCACGCCCUAAACGAUGUCAACUAGCUGUUGGGGUCUUCGGACCUUGGUAGCGCAGCUAACGCGUGAAGUUGACCGCCUGGGGAGUACGGUCGCAAGAUU